rnacentral:rRNA from 1 species
AAGUCGUAACAAGGUUUCCGUAGGUGAACCUGCGGAAGGAUCAUUCACAAACGAGUGUUUUAUGGCACUCUUUAAAAAUCCAUAUCCACCUUGUGUGCAAUGUUUGUUGGGAAAGUCUUUUCUUUCCCUUCAUAAAUAUCAACCUAUAUCUUUAACAACAUUCGUCUGAUAACAUAUUAUGAAUAUACUUAAUUCAAAAUAUAACUUUCAACAACGGAUCUCUUGGCUCUCGCAUCGAUGAAGAACGCAGCGAAAUGCGAUACGUAAUGUGAAUUGCAGAAUUCAGUGAAUCAUCGAAUCUUUGAACGCAUAUUGCGCUCUUUGGUAUUCCGAAGAGCAUGCUUGUUUGAGUAUCAGUAAACACCUCAACCUCUCUUUUUUGAUAAAAAAAAGGGAGGGUGGACUUGAGCUAUCCCAACGACCUUCACCGGUAGGCGGGCGGCUUGAAAUGCAGGUGCAGCUGGACUUUUAUCUGAGCUAAAAGCAUAUCUAUUUAGUCCUCGUCAAACAGGAUUAUUACUUUUGCUGCAGCUAACAUAAAGGAUAAUUGUCCUCUUUGCUGACUGAUGCAGGAUUUUACGACACUUUAUGUGUUGUUCAACUCGAUCUCAAAUCAAGUAAGACUACCCGCUGAACUUAA